GAUGAACGCUGGCGGCGUGCCUAAUACAUGCAAGUCGAGCGAACGGACGAGAAGCUUGCUUCUCUGAUGUUAGCGGCGGACGGGUGAGUAACACGUGGAUAACCUACCUAUAAGACUGGGAUAACUUCGGGAAACCGGAGCUAAUACCGGAUAAUAUUUUGAACCGCAUGGUUCAAAAGUGAAAGACGGUCUUGCUGUCACUUAUAGAUGGAUCCGCGCUGCAUUAGCUAGUUGGUAAGGUAACGGCUUACCAAGGCAACGAUGCAUAGCCGACCUGAGAGGGUGAUCGGCCACACUGGAACUGAGACACGGUCCAGACUCCUACGGGAGGCAGCAGUAGGGAAUCUUCCGCAAUGGGCGAAAGCCUGACGAAGCAACGCCGCGUGAGUGAUGAAGGUCUUCGGAUCGUAAAACUCUGUUAUUAGGGAAGAACAUAUGUGUAAGUAACUGUGCACAUCUUGACGGUACCUAAUCAGAAAGCCACGGCUAACUACGUGCCAGCAGCCGCGGUAAUACGUAGGUGGGCAGCGGUAUCCGGAAUUUAUGGGCGUAAAGCGCGCGUAGGCGGUUUUUUAGUCUGAUGUGAAAGCCCACGGCUCAACCGUGGAGGGUCAUUGGAAACUGGAAAACUUGAGUGCAGAAGAGGAAAGUGGAAUUCCAUGUGUAGCGGUGAAAUGCGCAGAGAUAUGGAGGAACACCAGUGGCGAAGGCGACUUUCUGGUCUGUAACUGACGCUGAUGUGCGAAAGCGUGGGGAUCAAACAGGAUUAGAUACCCUGGUAGUCCACGCCGUAAACGAUGAGUGCUAAGUGUUAGGGGGUUUCCGCCCCUUAGUGCUGCAGCUAACGCAUUAAGCACUCCGCCUGGGGAGUACGACCGCAAGGUUGAAACUCAAAGGAAUUGACGGGGACCCGCACAAGCGGUGGAGCAUGUGGUUUAAUUCGAAGCAACGCGAAGAACCUUACCAAAUCUUGACAUCCUUUGACAACUCUAGAGAUAGAGCCUUCCCCUUCGGGGGACAAAGUGACAGGUGGUGCAUGGUUGUCGUCAGCUCGUGUCGUGAGAUGUUGGGUUAAGUCCCGCAACGAGCGCAACCCUUAAGCUUAGUUGCCAUCAUUAAGUUGGGCACUCUAAGUUGACUGCCGGUGACAAACCGGAGGAAGGUGGGGAUGACGUCAAAUCAUCAUGCCCCUUAUGAUUUGGGCUACACACGUGCUACAAUGGACAAUACAAAGGGCAGCGAAACCGCGAGGUCAAGCAAAUCCCAUAAAGUUGUUUUCAGUUCGGAUUGUAGUCUGCAACUCGACUACAUGAAGCUGGAAUCGCUAGUAAUCGUAGAUCAGCAUGCUACGGUGAAUACGUUCCCGGGUCU
rnacentral:rRNA from 1 species